AGGGACCACCAACAGUCCAGGUUUUGUCAGUAUCUCCAUUGGAAUAAAACAGGGGGAUACAUAAAUCCUGGAUUGUUGGUGGUCCCUGAGGACU
rnacentral:miRNA from 1 species